rnacentral:rRNA from 1 species
UACGGGGGGGCAAGCGUUGUUCGGAAUUACUGGGCGUAAAGGGCGCGUAGGCGGCUCGUUUAGUCGGGUGUGAAAUCCCGGGGCUCAACCCCGGAACUGCAUUCGAUACUGGCGGGCUAGAGACCGGAAGAGGUGGGUGGAAUACCCAGUGUAGAGGUGAAAUUCGUAGAUAUUGGGUGGAACACCGGUGGGCGAAGGCG